rnacentral:rRNA from 1 species
UACGUAGGGUGCAAGCGUUGUCCGGAAUUAUUGGGCGUAAAGAGCUCGUAGGCGGUCUGUCGCGUCUGCUGUGAAAAUCAGGGCUCAACCCUGGACCUGCAGUGGGUACGGGCAGACUAGAGUGCGGUAGGGGAGAUCGGAAUCCUGGUGUAGCGGUGAAAUGCGCAGAUAUCAGGAGGAACACCGGUGGCGAAGGCGGAUCUCUGGGCCGUAACUGACGCUGACGGAGCGAAAGCAUGGGGAGCGAACAGGAUAGAUACCC